rnacentral:rRNA from 1 species
CAGAUGUGAAAGCCCGAGGCUUAACCUCGCGGGUUGCAUUUGGAACUGGCGAGCUAGAGUACAGGAGAGGAAAGCGGAAUUCCUAGUGUAGCGGUGAAAUGCGUAGAUAUUAGGAAGAACACCAGUGGCGAAGGCGGCUUUCUGGACUGAAACUGACGCUGAGGCUCGAAAGCGUGGGGAGCAAACAGGAUUAGAUACCCUGGUAGUCCACGCCGUAAACGAUGAGUGCUAGGUGUCGGGGAGGAAUCCUCGGUGCCGCAGCUAACGCAAUAAGCACUCCACCUGGGGAGUACGACCGCAAGGUUGAAACUCAAAGGAAUUGACGGGGGCCCGCACAAGCGGUGGAGCAUGUGGUUUAAUUCGAAGCAACGCGAAGAACCUUACCAAGGCUUGACAUCCCGAUGACCGCUCUAGAGAUAGAGUUUCUCUUCGGAGCAUCGGUGACAGGUGGUGCAUGGUUGUCGUCAGCUCGUGUCGUGAGAUGUUGGGUUAAGUCCCGCAACGAGCGCAACCCUUAUCCUUAGUAGCCAUCAUUGAGUUGGGCACUCUAGGGAGACUGCCGUGGAUAACACGGAGGAAGGUGGGGAUGACGUCAAAUCAUCAUGCCCCUUAUGUCUUGGGCUACACACGUGCUACAAUGGCUGGUAACAGAGUGAAGCGAGACGGCGACGUUAAGCAAAUCACAAAAACCCAGUCCCAGUUCGGAUUGUAGUCUGCAACUCGACUACAUGAAGCUGGAAUCGCUAGUAAUCGCGAAUCAGAAUGUCGCGGUGAAUACGUUCCCGGGCCUUGUACACACCGCCCGUCACACCAUGGGAGUUGGAAGCACC